rnacentral:rRNA from 1 species
GAUGAACGCUGGCGGCGUGCCUAAUACAUGCAAGUCGAGCGAACGGACGCGAAGCUUGCUUCUCUGAUGUUAGCGGCGGACGGGUGAGUAACACGUGGAUAACCUACCUAUAAGACUGGGAUAACUUCGGGAAACCGGAGCUAAUACCGGAUAAUAUUUUGAACCGCAUGGUUCAAAAGUGAAAGACGGUCUUGCUGUCACUUAUAGAUGGAUCCGCGCUGCAUUAGCUAGUUGGUAAGGUAACGGCCUACCAAGGCAACGAUGCCUAGCCGACCUGAGAGGGUGGUCGGCCACACGGGAGCUGAGACACGGUCCAGACUACUACGGGAGGCAGCAGUAGGGAAUGUGCCGCAAUGGGCGAAAGCCUGACGGAGCAACGCCGCGUGAGUGAUGAAGGUGUUCGGAUCGUAAAACUCUAUUAUUAGGGAAGAACAGAUGUGUAAGUAACUGUGCACAGCUUGACGGUACCUAAUCAGAAAGCCACGGCUAACUACGUG